rnacentral:rRNA from 1 species
ACUAAUACCCAAUGAUAUCCCACGAAGGCAUCCGAAUGGGAUUAAAGAUUUAUCGGUGAUGGAUGGGGAUGCGUCUGAUUAGCUUGUUGGCGGGGUAACGGCCCACCAAGGCUACGAUCAGUAGGGGUUCUGAGAGGAAGGUCCCCCACAUUGGAACUGAGACACGGUCCAAACUCCUACGGGAGGCAGCAGUGAGGAAUAUUGGUCAAUGGGCGAGAGCCUGAACCAGCCAAGUAGCGUGCAGGAUGACGGCCCUAUGGGUUGUAAACUGCUUUUAUAAGGGAAUAAAGUGAGUCUCGUGAGACUUUUUGCAUGUACCUUAUGAAUAAGGACCGGCUAAUUCCGUGCCAGCAGCCGCGGUAAUACGGAAGGUCCGGGCGUUAUCCGGAUUUAUUGGGUUUAAAGGGAGCGUAGGCCGGAGAUUAAGCGUGUUGUGAAAUGUAGUGGCUCAACCUCUGCACUGCAGCGCGAACUGGUCUUCUUGAGUACGCACAACGUGGGCGGAAUUCGUGGUGUAGCGGUGAAAUGCUUAGAUAUCACGAAGAACUCCGAUUGCGAAGGCAGCUCACGGGAGCGCAACUGACGCUGAAGCUCGAAAGUGCGGGUAUCGAACAGGAUUAGAUACCCUGGUAGUCCGCACGGUAAACGAUGGAUGCCCGCUGUUGGCCUGAAUAG